rnacentral:rRNA from 1 species
UGGGGAAUAUUGGACAAUGGGCGAAAGCCUGACCCAGCAACGCCGCGUGAAGGAUGAAGUAUUUCGGUAUGUAAACUUCGAAAGAAUAGGAAGAAUAAAUGACGGUACUAUUUAUAAGGUCCGGCUAACUACGUGCCAGCAGCCGCGGUAAUACGUAGGGACCAAGCGUUGUUCGGAUUUACUGGGCGUAAAGGGCGCGUAGGCGGUGUGUCAAGUCAGUUGUGAAAUCUCCGAGCUUAACUCGGAACGGUCAACUGAUACUGUCACACUAGAGUACAGAAGGGGCAAUCGGAAUUCUUGGUGUAGCGGUGAAAUGCGUAGAUAUCAAGAGGAACACCUGAGGCGAAGGCGGGUUGCUGGGCUGAUACUGACGCUGAGGCGCGAAAGCGUGGGGAGCAAACAGGAUUAGAUACCCAUGUAGUCCCUGAGCGGGC